UUACGGCCAUAUCAUACAGUUGUAACGCCGGUUCUCGUAAGAUGACCGAAGUUAAGCAAAGUCGAGCCUGGUCAGUAACUAUGGGUGACCGUUUGGGAAUACCACGCGUUGUAG